UACGGAGGGUGCAAGCGUUAAUCGGAAUUACUGGGCGUAAAGGGCACGCAGGCGGUCUUUUAAGUCAGAUGUGAAAGCCCCGAGCUUAACUUGGGAAUUGCAUUUGAAACUGGUUGGCUAGAGUCUUGUAGAGGGGGGUAGAAUUCCACGUGUAGCGGUGAAAUGCGUAGAGAUGUGGAGGAAUACCGAUGGCGAAGGCAGCCCCCUGGAAAUGUACUGACGCUCAUGUGCGAAAGCGUGGGGAGCAAACAGG
rnacentral:rRNA from 1 species